rnacentral:rRNA from 1 species
CACGUAGGGGGCAAGCGUUGUCCGGAAUUAUUGGGCGUAAAGAGCUCGUAGGCGGCUCGGUAAGUCAGGUGUCAAAUCCUCAGGCUCAACCUGGGGCUCCACCUGAUACUGCUGUGGCUAGAGUCCGGUAGGGGAGCGUGGAAUUCCUGGUGUAGCGGUGAAAUGCGCAGAUAUCAGGAGGAACACCAGCGGCGAAGGCGGGUCUCUGGACAGUUCCUGACGCUCAGGCACGAAAGCCAGGGGAGCAAACGGG